rnacentral:rRNA from 1 species
GAGCUUGCUUUUCUCAGCUUAGUGGCGAACGGGUGAGUAACGCGUGAGUAACCUGCCCUGGAGUGGGGGACAACAGUUGGAAACGACUGCUAAUACCGCAUAAGCCCACGGAUCCGCAUGGAUCUGCGGGAAAAGGAUUUAUUCGCUCUAGGAUGGACUCGCGUCCAAUUAGCUAGUUGGUGAGGUAACGGCCCACCAAGGCGACGAUUGGUAGCCGGACUGAGAGGUUGAACGGCCACAUUGGGACUGAGACACGGCCCAGACUCCUACGGGAGGCAGCAGUGGGGGAUAUUGCACAAUGGGGGAAACCCUGAUGCAGCGACGCCGCGUGGAGGAAGAAGGUUUUCGGAUUGUAAACUCCUGUCGUUAGGGACGAUAAUGACGGUACCUAACAAGAAAGCACCGGCUAACUACGUGCCAGCAGCCGCGGUAAAACGUAGGGUGCAAGCGUUGUCCGGAAUUACUGGGUGUAAAGGGAGCGCAGGCGGACCGGCAAGUUGGAAGUGAAAACUAUGGGCUCAACCCAUAAAUUGCUUUCAAAACUGCUGGCCUUGAGUAGUGCAGAGGUAGGUGGAAUUCCCGGUGUAGCGGUGGAAUGCGUAGAUAUCGGGAGGAACACCAGUGGCGAAGGCGACCUACUGGGCACCAACUGA